CGAAUUUUGACAAACAUUUUUCAAAUUAAUACCAAGAAGUCAUAACCAGUAAUUACCUAAAUUUCUUUGCCAAUUUUACAUGUACAAUCCACGCUUAGUUGAUCAUUAACCGACACAGUUAUAAACAGUAUAUAAAACAUAAUUUAUAUAUUGCGAUUUCAAAAAAGUCAUGCUUUGUUGUUUUAUGCAGAAUGCAUGUACACGUCAGUUGGGGUAGUAAAGGGGCAAUGUCACCGAUUUUUGGGCAAUUCCAACCCUCGCAAAUUUUGCCCAAAACUGAAAAAGAAUGAGUGUAAGCACAAAAUAAAGCAAUAACAGACACAAAAAACAUGUACAGAAGUCUGGAUGGGCAAGAUUACGCCAGGAUUGAGAUGGAUUGUAAAUGGCAUCUUGAUUAAUUGUUGGCAGACACUUUUUCAAGUUUUAGUCAAUUUUUAUGAAAAUGUCAUAUUACAU